UGCAAGUCGAACGAUGAAGCCUUUCGGGGUGGAUUAGUGGCGAACGGGUGAGUAACACGUGGGCAAUCUGCCCUUCACUCUGGGACAAGCCCUGGAAACGGGGUCUAAUACCGGAUAACACUCUGUCCCGCAUGGGACGGGGUUAAAAGCUCCGGCGGUGAAGGAUGAGCCCGCGGCCUAUCAGCUUGUUGGUGGGGUAAUGGCCUACCAAGGCGACGACGGGUAGCCGGCCUGAGAGGGCGACCGGCCACACUGGGACUGAGACACGGCCCAGACUCCUACGGGAGGCAGCAGUGGGGAAUAUUGCACAAUGGGCGAAAGCCUGAUGCAGCGACGCCGCGUGAGGGAUGACGGCCUUCGGGUUGUAAACCUCUUUCAGCAGGGAAGAAGCGAAAGUGACGGUACCUGCAGAAGAAGCGCCGGCUAACUACGUGCCAGCAGCCGCGGUAAUACGUAGGGCGCAAGCGUUGUCCGGAAUUAUUGGGCGUAAAGAGCUCGUAGGCGGCUUGUCACGUCGGAUGUGAAAGCCCGGGGCUUAACCCCGGGUCUGCAUUCGAUACGGGCUAGCUAGAGUGUGGUAGGGGAGAUCGGAAUUCCUGGUGUAGCGGUGAAAUGCGCAGAUAUCAGGAGGAACACCGGUGGCGAAGGCGGAUCUCUGGGCCAUUACUGACGCUGAGGAGCGAAAGCGUGGGGAGCGAACAGGAUUAGAUACCCUG
rnacentral:rRNA from 1 species